UACGAAGGGGGCUAGCGUUGUUCGGAAUUAUUGGGCGUAAAGCGCGUGUAGGCGGCUUUGCAAGUCUGGUGUGAAAUCCCUCGGCUUAACCGAGGAAGUGCGCCAGAAACUGCAGAGCUUGAGUACCGGAGAGGAUGGUGGAAUUCCCCAAGUAGAGGUGAAAUUCGUAGAUAUGGGGAGGAACACCGGUGGCGAAGGCGACCAUCUGGACGGAUACUGACGCUGAGACGCGAAAGCGUGGGGAGCAAACAGG
rnacentral:rRNA from 1 species